rnacentral:rRNA from 1 species
AUUGAACGCUGGCGGCAUGCUUUACACAUGCAAGUCGAACGGCAGCGCGGGCUUCGGCCUGGCGGCGAGUGGCGAACGGGUGAGUAAUGCAUCGGAACGUGUCCAGUCGUGGGGGAUAGCCCGGCGAAAGCCGGAUUAAUCCCGCAUCCGACCUGAGGGUGAAAGCGGGGGACCGAAAGGCCUCGCGCUAUUGUAGCGGCCGAUGUCGGAUUAGCUAGUUGGUGGGGUAACGGCUUACCAAGGCGACGAUCCGUAGCUGGUCUGAGAGGACGACCAGCCAGACUGGGACUGAGACACGGCCCAGACUCCUACGGGAGGCAGCAGUGGGGAAUUUUGGACAAGGGGGGCAACGCUGAUCCAGGCAUGCCGCGUGCGGGAAGAAGGCCUUCGGGUUGUAAACCGCUUUUGUUCGGGAAGAAAUCCUCUGGGCUAAUACCCCGGGGGGAUGACGGUACCGGAAGAAUAAGCACCGGCUAACUACGUG